rnacentral:rRNA from 1 species
GUCCACGCCGUAAACGAUGGGUACUAGGUGUCUGGGGGAGCGACCCCUGGGUGCCGGCGCUAACGCAUGAAGUACCCGCCUGGGGAGGUACGGCCGCAAGGCUGAAACUCAAAGGAAUUGACGGGGGCCCGGCACAAGCGGUGGAGCAUGUGGUUUAAUUCGACGCAACGCGAAGAACCUUACCUAGGCUUGACAUGCUGGAGAAAGCUCGCAGAAACGUGAGCCCCUCUUCGGAGUUCCAGCACAGAUGCUGCAUGGCUGUCGU